rnacentral:rRNA from 1 species
UACGUAGGGGGCAAGCGUUGUCCGGAAUCAUUGGGCGUAAGGCGCGUGUAGGCGGCCAGAAAAGUCCGCUGUGAAAACUCGAGGCUCAACUUCGAGCUGUCGGUGGAAACUUUCUGGCUAGAGUCCGGAAGAGGAGAAUGGAAUUCCUGGUGUAGCGGUGAAAUGCGUAGAUAUCAGGAGGAAUACCGGUGGCGAAGGCGGCCUUCUGGACGGUGACUGACGCUGAGACGCGAAAGCGUGGGGAGCAAACAGG